AUGGAGAACUGACUGAAAGUCACUCUAGAAUGCAGGAUGGCACCACAGAAGAGUAUGUGUCUUCUCCCAUUUGGGGUCUUAGGAUUCUUUUUAGAUAGUAUUUUUAUUUUAUUUUAUAUAUAUAUUUUUUGAGACUAAAAUGUCGGCUUCACUACAAAGCCAGAUUGGAGGAUAGGGUAUGGUUAUGAAGGGAAACAGGCUUGCUAAUACUCUCCUGUUUUGAACUACCUUCCAAAAUGCCAUCCUCCACUCCUUCUGGGAUAGAGGUUGUUGUGUUUUGCUUACACGUGCUGGGGAAAAGACCAGAACACACACACUCCACAGGCCAGUUUACUGACCUCUGGCCCAAGCAGAAGUGAAUUCAGAAAGCUCAGCCUGUGGGGAGAGCAUGUGCAGUAGUCCCUCUUAUCCGUGGUUUCAGCUACCCGAGGUCAGCCACGGCCUGGAAGCAGAUGAUCCUUGAAGGUCAGUAGUAGCCUAACAUGGCAAUGCCUACGUCGUUCGCCUUGCUUCAUCUCAUCACGCAGGCAUUUUAUCAGCUCACAUCAUCACAAGCAGGGCAAUAUUCUAUCAGACUCAAGUCUAUUUUGUUUUGAUCACUUUGGGCACCAGACUCCUGUCUGUCAUCAGAUAAAGGUCAAUCAACCCAGGUGUGAUGGUGUGUCCAGGUGCAGAUUUUUAUUUAUUCUGUUCAAGACUCAAAUUGCAACUUCAUUGAAAAGACUCAUUAUGUCUAACACUGCCUGCACCACCGGAAUCCCUCUUCAGGACUGAAGGAACGAGUAGCCAGCCAAGACGCGAGGACCUGGGGGUGCUGCCAGCAGACAAUGUUCAGAUGUCAGUUCUCUCUAGGCAUUGUUCUCAGCUGAAUAGUCCUGCUUUGCCCACCAGGUCACAGCCCUUCCUGAUGGCAGCCUGCAUCCAGUGAUGGGUCAGUGCAGGGGUACAAAGCGCCAGCCCUCUGUCUCAACAUGGGACAAUUCUAAAGGGCCAUCUAAGCUUCACAGCUCCCCAUGGUAGGAUGAUCAAUUCACCCAGAUGUGCUAGAGACUCGUGUCCCUGAAACCCCUCAAUUUUACAUCCUAAGACAUCCCUCAAUCCUGGGCACGCCAGGGCAAUUAUUCCCCCUUCUCAUGAAGCUGGCUGAAGACUUUGCUGAGAUGGCGUCGCAGCUCACCUCCUCCUUCUGCCGGGUCCUGCUUCCAUCCCUCCCACUGCUAUUGGUCCCAAGAGCUCCCCGUGAUAAGCUUCUUGCACACUAAUCUCUGUCUCAGUCUACUUCCCAGGGAACCCAACCUGCAACAGUAAUGUCUUUCUAAAUUUAAUUAUAGAAAAUGCUUAGAUAUUUUCUUUUUAAAUAUUGCCUUUUCACAUUCUCUGUUCUUUCCUUCGGGGACAUCCACUAAAUGCAUAUGGAAUCCCUUUAUUAUAUCCUCUGUUUCUCCUAAUCACUGUUUUUAUUUUCCAUCUUUCUCUCUCCCUGUAAGUUUGGUCUGAUUUGCUGUUUAACCCAUCUAUUGACUUCUACACCUUAAUAACUCCCUUCAUUUGGCUUUGAAGACACAUACUCUUCUGGUUUUCUUCUGUAUUUCUGGCUCUGUUUCAGCCUGUUUCUUGCUUCUUCUUCAUUAUCCCCACUUCUAAAUGAAGUCCUGGGGCUCAGUUCUCAAACCUCUUCUCUUUUUCACAAUCUAAACCACUUUCCAGAUGAAGUCAUCAGUCUUGUGAUUACAAAUACUAUAAAUAUACUGAUAACUUCCAGAGCUCGGAUGUCUCCCCUAAACUUCCGAGAGCUUGCUGUGAGGUAUCUCCACUUAGAAAUUUAAAAAAUGAGCACCUGCUUUUCAUUCCCAAACUCUGCAGUUUUCCUGUCUUCGUUAAUGGUAACUGUUAUCAGUGUUUAGGCUAAAAUCCUUGAAGUCAUCUUUAAAUAUUUCUUCUCUUUCCCUCAUACUGCACAUACUAUAGAUCCUGUGGAUUUUUUUAAUUAAGGUAUCAUUGAUAUACAAUCUUAUGAAGGUUUCAC